UUUUCCCCCUUUCUCUUGAUUUUCCAUUCUUAUGUCAGGUUUACCAACCUUAAUGAAGAAGAUGAAUUUUGGACCAAUAUCUUCAAAAUUGUUCACAAUAGAAGGAAUAUUCCCAUCCGAGGAGACUUCAUAAAAAUUUAUGGAUCUGUUGGAUGAUCUACAUAUUCCAUGCUGUAGGGGCUGGAGUGAUGUUAGAGAAAUCUGCGGUCACUGGACACUUUGAAGUGUGGCUCCUUGGGGAUACGCUGCUGCGUGUUUUCCAGGGGUCACUGAUCUGUGCUGCGAAGCUGCCUCAGUGUUUCAGCAGCUUUCACUAUUGAAAGGAACAUGAGGAAAUUACUGAAAGAGAAAUAUUAGAAAAGCCUCCCAUCAUUAAUUCAUGACUUCAUCAUGUUUUACCUUAAGGCUUGGAAACUGACAGAGGCCUGAUUCUGAAGGUUUUGAAGAUUGAAGUCGAAGUUAAUAGUGAAAGUCACCUAUACACAAAAUGAAAAUUCAUCAAUCUAUGACGCUUUGUGCUCCGGGACCAACAUGAAAAAAAAAAGUGGCCCAUAAAAGUAAACUCACUCCCAUUUGAUUCUGAAUUUUAUAAACCUUAAGCUUUAUAAUUUGUAGAAUAUCUAUGUAUUUGUCCACCUUGCCUUACCUUCAGAAUAGAACUGAAUUCACCUGACAUAUAUAUACAACACAUCACAGGCACUUACACUUAUCUGAAUUUGAAGGCUUUGUGCUGAUGUAAAAUUUGCUUACCAGGGGUUAAAAAUGAU